AGCGAACGCUGGCGGCAGGCCUAACACAUGCAAGUCGAACGAACUCUUCGGAGUUAGUGGCGGACGGGUGAGUAACACGUGGGAACGUGCCUUUAGGUUCGGAAUAACUCAGGGAAACUUGUGCUAAUACCGAAUGUGCCCUUCGGGGGAAAGAUUUAUCGCCUUUAGAGCGGCCCGCGUCUGAUUAGCUAGUUGGUGAGGUAAAGGCUAACCAAGGGGACGAUCAGUAGCUGGUCUGAGAGGAUGAUCAGCCACAUUGGGACUGAGACACGGCCCAAACUCCUACGGGAGGCAGCAGUGGGGAAUCUUGCGCAAUGGGCGAAAGCCUGACGCAGCCAGGCCGAGUGAAUGAUGAAGGUCUUAGGAUUGUAAAAUUCUUUCACCGGGGACGAUUAUGACGGUACCUGGAGAAAAAGCCCCGGCUAACUUCGUGCCAGCCGCCGCGGUAAUAC
rnacentral:rRNA from 1 species